GCCGCCUUAGCUCAGUUGGUAGAGCAACACUUUUGUAAAGUGAAGGUCCUCGGUUCGAGUCCGAGAGGCGGCUCAA
rnacentral:tRNA from 1 species